rnacentral:rRNA from 1 species
AGCGAACGCUGGCGGCAGGCCUAACACAUGCAAGUCGAACGGAUCCUUCGGGAUUAGUGGCGGACGGGUGAGUAACACGUGGGAACGUGCCCUUUGGUUCGGAACAACUCAGGGAAACUUGAGCUAAUACCGGAUGUGCCCUUCGGGGGAAAGAUUUAUCGCCAUUGGAGCGGCCCGCGUCUGAUUAGCUAGUUGGUGAGGUAAAGGCUCACCAAGGCGACGAUCAGUAGCUGGUCUGAGAGGAUGAUCAGCCACAUUGGGACUGAGACACGGCCCAAACUCCUACGGGAGGCAGCAGUGGGGAAUCUUGCGCAAUGGGCGAAAGCCUGACGCAGCCAUGCCGCGUGAACGAUGAAGGUCUUAGGAUUGUAAAAUUCUUUCACCGGGGACGAUAAUGACGGUACCCGGAGAAGAAGCCCCGGCUAACUUCGUGCCAGCCGCCGCUGUAAAAC